rnacentral:rRNA from 1 species
GAUGAACGCUAGCGGCAGGCCUAACACAUGCAAGUCGAGGGGCAGCACGUCUUCGGAUGGUGGCGACCGGCGCACGGGUGCGUAACGCGUAUGCAACCUACCUCUUACAGUGGGAUAGCCCAGAGAAAUUUGGAUUAAUACCGCAUAGUAUACAGAUUCAGCAUUGGGACUGUAUUAAACAUUUAUGGGUAAGAGAUGGGCAUGCGUUCUAUUAGUUAGUUGGAGUGGUAACGGCACCCCAAGACAGCGAUAGAUAGGGGCCCUGAGAGGGGGAUCCCCCACACUGGUACUGAGACACGGACCAGACUCCUACGGGAGGCAGCAGUGAGGAAUAUUGGACAAUGGGCGAGAGCCUGAUCCAGCCAUGCCGCGUGCGUGAACGAAGGCCUUAGGGUUGUAAAGCGCUUUCACCUGUGAUGAUGAUGACAGUAGCAGGAGAAGAAGCCCCGGCUAACUCCGUGCCAGCAGCCGCGGUAA